GAGCACUGUUUGGACGAGGGGCCCCUCUCGGGUUACCGAAUUCAGACAAACUCCGAAUGCCAAUUAAUUUAACUUGGGAGUCAGAACAUGGGUGAUAAGGUCCGUGUUCGAAAGGGAAACAGCCCAGACCACCAGCUAAGGUCCCAAAAUAUAUGUUAAGUGGAAAAGGAUGUGGCGUUGCCCAGACAACUAGGAUGUUGGCUUAGAAGCAGCCAUCAUUUAAAGAGUGCGUAAUAGCUCACUAGUCGAGUGACACUGCGCCGAAAAUGUACCGGGGCUAAACAUAUUACCGAAGCUGUGGAUUGUCCUUUGGACAAUGGUAGGAGAGCGUUCUAAGGGCGUUGAAGCAUGAUCGUAAGGACAUGUGGAGCGCUUAGAAGUGAGAAUGCCGGUGUGAGUAGCGAAAGACGGGUGAGAAUCCCGUCCACCGAUUGACUAAGGUUUCCAGAGGAAGGCUCGUCCGCUCUGGGUUAGUCGGGUCCUAAGCUGAGGCCGACAGGCGUAGGCGAUGGAUAACAGGUUGAUAUUCCUGUACCACCUAUAAUCGUUUUA
rnacentral:rRNA from 1 species